UACGUAGGGGGCAAGCGUUGUCCGGAUUUAUUGGGCGUAAAGAGCGUGUAGGCGGCCCGAUAAGUCCGCUGUGAAAGUCCAGGGCUCAACCCUCGGAUGCCGGUGGAUACUGUCGGGCUUGAGUACGGAAGAGGCGAGUGGAAUUCCUGGUGUAGCGGUGAAAUGCGCAGAUAUCAGGAGGAACACCAAUGGCGAAGGCAGCACUCUGGGACGUGACUGACGCUGAGACGCGAAAGCGUGGGGAGCAAACAGG
rnacentral:rRNA from 1 species